UACGAAGGGGGGCUAGCGUUGCUCGGAAUCACUGGGCGUAAAGCGCACGUAGGCGGCUUUUUAAGUCAGGGGUGAAAUCCUGGAGCUCAACUCCAGAACUGCCUUUGAUACUGGGAAGCUCGAGUCCGGGAGAGGUGAGUGGAACUGCGAGUGUAGAGGUGAAAUUCGUAGAUAUUCGCAAGAACACCAGUGGCGAAGGCGGCUCACUGGCCCGGUACUGACGCUGAGGUGCGAAAGCGUGGGGAGCAAACAGG
rnacentral:rRNA from 1 species